rnacentral:rRNA from 1 species
CCACGAUCAUUAGCUGAUGUGAGAGCAUGAUCAGCCACAUGGGCACUGAGACACGGGCCCAACUCCUACGGGAGGCAGCAGUAAGGAAUAUUGGUCAAUGGACGAAAGUCUGAACCAGCCAUGCCGCGUGAAGGAUGAAGGUCCUCUGGAUUGUAAACUUCUUUUAUCUGGGGCGAAAACCAUCUUUUCUAAGAUAUUUGACAGUAUCAGAAGAAUAAGCACCGGCUAACUCCGUGCCAGCAGCCGCGGUAAUACGGAGGGUGCAAGCGUUAUCCGGAUUCACUGGGUUUAAAGGGUGCGCAGGCGGAUUUAUAAGUCAGAGGUGAAAUCUGUAGGCUUAACCUACAAACUGCCUUUGAUACUAUAGAUCUUGAAUGUCGCUGAGGUCAGCGGAAUAUAACAUGUAGCGGUGAAAUGCAUAGAUAUGUUAUAGAACACCGAUUGCGAAGGCAGCUGACUAAAGGACGAUUGACGCUGAGGCACGAAAGCGUGGGUAGCGAACAGGAUUAGAUACCCUGGUAGUCCACGCCCUAAACGAUGAUUACUCGACAUUUGCGAUACGAUAGUAAGUGUCUGAGCGAAAGCAUUAAGUAAUCCACCUGGGAAGUACGACCGCAAGGUUGAAACUCAAAGGAAUUGGCGGGGGUCCGCACAAGCGGUGGAGUAUGUGGUUUAAUUCGAUGAUACGCGAGGAACCUUACCCGGGCUAGAAUGUGAG